rnacentral:misc_RNA from 1 species
UCAGCUCAGCUGCCAAGGCUCUGGUGGACCGCCUGACCGCUGCGAGUAAUCGCAUCACAUCAGCACGAUAUCGUCGACAUCUUGCUCUCCCCACCUGAGGAGGUGUGUAUAUAGACGACUGACACCUUGCGUAGCCCACAGCCCAGCUGUGCCAUUUACACAUAGAAAAGCCGACGCAAAUCUGCGCAUACGCGCUGCCCUUUCCGAAAGACGCGCACGCGCCGCUCGUCAAACACUUCAUCGCUUCUCGGUUAGCUUCACCGCACCCUUUCGAACCUGUGCGCACCAAUGAUCCGCAGCUACUUUGAUCUAGACGACAUUGGAGCCUGCGAGGAGCCUGUCGCAGUCACAUUCACCGUCCCGUCGUUCAGCAUGGGCAAGGAUCUCACCGUUCGCACCCACGAAGGCGAAACAGUGUCUGAGGUGGUGGCGGGCUGUGUGGCAACCGUCCCUUUGUGGGCUGCGACAGCCCUUCGCACUGAAGGGUACGUCAGUGUUCAUGCACCUCACACGUUCUCCCUCGCCACGUUUCGCGAGUUUAAGACGGACCCACUUGCCCCCAGCCUUCAUCGCAAGUCACCGUACUUCUACCAAGCCGGGCUGCAGCUCUGCCGGCUUCUGAGCAACCCCACGUCGAGCGGCCACAUGAGCGCCGAAGGCAACCGACUUGCCGCGCAGCUGUUCCGUCUCUACCAGCUUCGCUACCUGCGCAUCAUCUUCGCUGCUGCCAAGAAGGGGUUUGACCUGAACGACGUCCGCGACAAGCUGGAGGAGUCGGAGCGGCAUCUGCUCGACUCAUACCUUCGCGGACAGGCCGAAGAAGCGCUGUGGUAUGCGAACUUUACCUAGCACUUCGCGUCUGUGAGGAAAAGCAUUAACCCUGCUCUGGCAUGCCAACAUCUGGUGGUGGACACUCUGAUCAGCCACGUGAUUGAUCCAGCAUCGCAUCCUGAAAGACGCACGCCUUGCGGUCUCAUCUG